UAAACAAAUAAUCUGCGCAUGUGCCAAGG
rnacentral:piRNA from 1 species